UGGAACAACUUGUAACAAGCUUGAUGGUAUUAUCAGACUUGUUACAAGGUUGUUCUGAGUCUUCUGACAAGUCUGAUAGAGUCAUGAUUUUACAAGAAUGUUACAAGGUUGACCACAAACAAGGUUGUAACAAUAUUGUUAUAUCAUAAGUGUAUCGGACUUGCUGGAACAACCUUGCAACAAGUCUGAUAAUAUCAACAAGGUUGUUACAAGUUGUUCAC